rnacentral:rRNA from 1 species
CCUACGGGUGGCAGCAGUGAGGAAUAUUGGUCACUGGACGCAAGUCUGAACCAGCCAUGCCGCGUGCAGGAAGACGGCUCUAUGAGUUGUAAACUGCUUUUGUACGAGGGUAAACGCAGAUACGCGUAUCUGUCUGCAAGUAUCGUACGAAUAAGGAUCGGCUAACUCCGUGCCAGCAGCAGCGGUAAUACGGAGGAUUCAAGCGUUAUCCGGAUUUAUUGGGCGUAAAGCGCUGGUAGGCGGUAGGUCAAGUCAAGGGGGAAAUCCCCGCGCUCAACGUGGGAACUGCCUUUGAAACUGGCAAACUGGAGUGUGUGAGAGGAUAGUGGAAUUCCAGGUGUAGGAGUGAAAUCCGUAGAUAUCUGGAGGAACAUCAGUGGCGAAGGCGACUAUCUGGCACAUAACUGACGCUGAGGAGCGAAAGCGUGGGUAGCAAACAGGAUUAGAUACCCUUGUAGUC